UACGGAGGGUGCGAGCGUUGUCCGGAAUCAUUGGGCGUAAAGGGCGCGUAGGUGGCCCGGUCAGUCCGUGGUGAAAGCGCGGGGCUCAACCCCGCGUCGGCCAUGGAUACUGCUGGGCUGGAGCACUGUAGAGGCAGGCGGGAUUCCGGGUGUAGCGGUGGAAUGCGUAGAUAUCGGGAGGAACACCAGUGGCGAAGGCGGUUACCUGGAGCUUUGCUGACGCUGAUGCGCGAAAGCGUGGGGAGCGAUCCGG
rnacentral:rRNA from 1 species